GAUGAACGCUGGCGGCGUGCUUAACACAUGCUUUUCGAACGGGAAACAUUUUAUUGAAGCUUCGGCAGAUUUAGCUUGUUUCUAGUGGCGGACGGGUGAGUAACUUGUGGGUAACCUGCCUCACACUGGGGGAUAACAGUCAGAAAUGGCUGCUAAUACCGCAUAAGCGCACAGCAUCGCAUGAUGCAGUGUGAAAAACUCAGGUGGUGUGAGAUGGACCCGCGUUGGAUUAGCUAGUUGGCAGGGCAGCGGCCUACCAAGGCGACGAUCCAUAGCCGGCCUGAGAGGGUGAACGGCCACAUUGGGACUGAGACACGGCCCUUACUCCUACGGGAGGCAGCAGUGGGGAAUAUUGGACAAUGGACCAAAAGUCUGAUCCAGCAAUUCUGUGUGCACGAUGAAGUUUUUCGGAAUGUAAAGUGCUUUCAGUUGGGAAGAAGAAAGUGACGGUACCAACAGAAGAAGCGACGGCUAAAUACGUGCCAGCAGCCGCGGUAAUACGUAUGUCGCAAGCGUUAUCCGGAUUUAUUGGGCGUAAAGCGCGUCUAGGCGGUUUGGUAAGUCUGAUGUGAAAAUGCGGGGCUCAACUCCGUAUUGCGUUGGAAACUGCCAAACUAGAGUACUGGAGAGGUAGGCGGAACUACAAGUGUAGAGGUGAAAUUCGUAGAUAUUUGUAGGAAUGCCGAUGGGGAAGCCAGCCUACUGGACAGAUACUGACGCUAAAGCGCGAAAGCGUGGGUAGCAAACAGGAUUAGAUACCCUGGUAGUCCACGCCGUAAACGAUGAUUACUAGGUGUUGGGGGUCGAACCUCAGCGCCCAAGCUAACGCGAUAAGUAAUCCGCCUGGGGAGUACGUACGCAAGUAUGAAACUCAAAGGAAUUGACGGGGACCCGCACAAGCGGUGGAGCAUGUGGUUUAAUUCGAAGCAACGCGAAGAACCUUACCAAGUCUUGACAUCCCUCUGACCGCACCUUAACCGGUGCUUUCCUUCGGGACAGAGGAGACAGGUGGUGCAUGGUUGUCGUCAGCUCGUGUCGUGAGAUGUUGGGUUAAGUCCCGCAACGAGCGCAACCCUUAUCCUUAGUAGCCAGCGGUUCGGCCGGGCACUCUGGGGAGACUGCCAGGGAUAACCUGGAGGAAGGUGGGGAUGACGUCAAAUCAUCAUGCCCCUUAUGAUUUGGGCUACACACGUGCUACAAUGGCGUAAACAAAGGGAAGCGAUCACGUGAGUGUAAGCAAAUCUCAAAAAUAACGUCCCAGUUCGGACUGUAGUCUGCAACCCGACUACACGAAGCUGGAAAAGGGAGUAAUCGCAGGUCAGCAUACUGCGGUGA
rnacentral:rRNA from 1 species